rnacentral:rRNA from 1 species
CCUACGGGAGACAGCAGUGGGGAAUAUUGGGCAAUGGGCGCAAGCCUGACCCAGCAACGCCGCGUGAAGGAAGAAGGCUUUCGGGUUGUAAACUUCUUUUCUCAGGGACGAAGCAAGUGACGGUACCUGAGGAAUAAGCCACGGCUAACUACGUGCCAGCAGCCGCGGUAAUACGUAGGUGGCAAGCGUUAUCCGGAUUUACUGGGUGUAAAGGGCGUGUAGGCGGGAAAGCAAGUCAGAUGUGAAAACCAUGGGCUCAACCUGUGGCCUGCAUUUGAAACUGGUUUUCUUGAGUACUGGGGAGGCAGACGGAAUUCCUAGUGUAGCGGUGAAAUGCGUAGAUAUUAGGAGGAACACCAGUGGCGAAGGCGGUCUGCUGGACAGCAACUGACGCUGAGGCGCGAAAGCGUGGGGAGCAAACAGGAUUAGAUACCCGUGUAGUC